rnacentral:pre_miRNA from 1 species
AGUAAGUUGAUGGGGUCCCAGGUUGUGUGUCUGAAUCUCCCGGGACUACUUCAACUACUUG